CGUCAAGUUCAGCGCCGGAGCAAACGCAUUGAGUGCCCCGCUUGGGGAAUACGAUCGCAAGAUUGAAACUCAAAGGAAUUGACGGGGGCCCGCACAAUCGGUGGAGCAUGUGGUUUAAUUCGAUGCUACGCGAAGAACCUUACCUGGGCUUGAACUGCAGAGGCACGUACCCUGAAAGGGGUAUUUCCUUCGGGACUUCUGUAGAGGUGCUGCAUGGCUGUCGUCAGCUCGUGCCGUGAGGUGUUGGGUUAAGUCCCGCAACGAGCGCAACCCUUGCUCUUAGUUGCCAUCAGGUAAAGCUGGGCACUCUAAGGGGACUGUCCCGGAUAACGGGGAGGAAGGUGGGGAUGACGUCAAGUCAUCGUGGCCCUUACGUCCAGGGCUACACACGUGCUACAAUGGCCGGUACAACGGGAAGCGAGACCGUGAGGUGGAGCCAAUCCCUUAAAACCGGUUUCAGUUCAGAUUGUAGUCUGCAACUCGACUGCAUGAAGUUGGAAUCGCUAGUAAUCGCGGAUCAGCACUGCCGCGGUGAAUACGUUCCCGGGCAUUGUACACACCGCCCGUCACGCCAUGGGAGUCGAUAGCACCCGAAGCCGGUGCCC
rnacentral:rRNA from 1 species